CCUACGGGAGGCAGCAGUGAGGAAUAUUGGUCAAUGGACGAGAGUCUGAACCAGCCAAGUAGCGUGAAGGAUGACUGCCCUAUGGGUUGUAAACUUCUUUUAUAAAGGAAUAAAACGAGGCACGUGUGCCUUUUUGCAUGUACUUUAUGAAUAAGGAUCGGCUAACUCCGUGCCAGCAGCCGCGGUAAUACGGAGGAUCCGAGCGUUAUCCGGAUUUAUUGGGUUUAAAGGGAGCGUAGAUGGGUUGUUAAGUCAGUUGUGAAAGUUUGCGGCUCAACCGUAAAAUUGCAAUUGAUACUGGCAGUCGUGAGUACAGUUGAGGUAGGAGGAAUUCGUGGUGUAGCGGUGAAAUGCUUAGAUAUCACGAAGAACCCCGAUUGCGAAGGCAGCUUACUAAACUGUGACUGACAUUGAUGCUCGAAAGUGUGGGUAUCAAACAGGAUUAGAUACCCUAGUAGUC
rnacentral:rRNA from 1 species